UAUUGAUGUUGCUGCUGCUGCUGCUGCUGCUUCCCUGUGCAGCUUCUAGGAUGCGGAAAGCAAAAUGCCUAUUGAACUUGAGAAGGGAUCAUCCAGAUGCAAUGAAUUAUUACGAGCCAGGAGACCACCUCAUAAGCGGGGUCAUAUCUACAUUACAAAUUAUUCAUACUGGACACCAUUUCCUUGCCACCCCUUUCAUUUACAGUAUAAGGUACGCUGCAUUUCCCCAUGCAAUUUCUGCACAGCAGACAAAACUGUGAUUGAUGGGUAGGAAUAUAUACAUAGCAUAUUCUUUAAUACGGUUGUGCUUAGCUGUGACUGCCCAAGCCUCGAAUGCUUAUAUGCCAGGGACAAGUCCUGCUUUCUAGAACUUGCCCAGUGAAGACACAAAAUGCAUAGGCAUUGCUUCCCUCCUUACUUUUUUCCACUGGAAAAAUAAACCAAAUUGAUGGUGAAUCAUGAAGAUCCAGAGAUCAUCUGCAUCCCAAGUUCUUGACUUGGGAAAUGUGAAGAUGGCCUGAUAUGCACUCCUAUGAAAGGAGCAGGACUAUAACUAUUAAAUUGUCACAAUCUAUCUAUCAAGUUAACAUACAAUCACGUUGAAUUGAGUCUAGAAAUCAACUGGCAGCCAGUACAGUUCACCUGCCCUGGGACAUUAGGGUGCAAGGUAGGUACUAAAUAGGAUAAGAACAGCAAUAACAAUUAGAAGCAGGAAUUAUAUGACUGGUAAAGAUCUCUAUUUUACAUCUCCUCUUCUUUUUUAAAAAAUAAAGAAACAAACUCUUACAACCUACCACUCCCCUUGAACUAGUGCCCUGUCCUUUUACAAAUUUUUGCUCAUUAUAUUUGAGGGUGGUAUUCACUCCCUGCUUCCAGCACGCAAGUGCUCAAAUAAGCUUCUAUCUCCCUUUGACUGGCAAGCAGCCGUUCACCUUCCAACAAACUCACAGAUGACUGAUUAUGUGAUGUGGAUGUUCUGUUUUGCUUCAUUCUUGUGGCUGCAAUUUCUUAUAGGGUUAAGAAAGCAGGGACUUGACACUUUUCACUGAACGGAGACUGACAUUAGGCUUCAUGCUUUGUUGCAGGGCAGCAGAUAUGGUAGCAUACUGGUAUCUCCUGUCCUUCAUGAUUGCCAUCCAUGAGAUUAAUCAGGACCCCGGGAUCUUACCCAACAUUACCCUGGGCUAUGACAUCUAUGAGAAUUAUUUCAAUGCAAGGAUGACCUAUGAUGCCACGCUAGAUCUGCUCUCUCCUGGGCGGGCCAAUGUCCCAAACUACCACUGUGGAAGACAGAAGAAGCCCUUGGUUUUCAUUGAAGGGGUCAACUCUGACACCUCACUCCAGAUUUCAACUAUGCUGGGAACCUACAAAAUCCCCCAGGUAUGAGCACACUAGCAUAGACAACAUACAGAGAACAGCAACCUCCCUUAACAGGAAACAAACUAUGAAACUCACUCCCAGAGGAGGCAGUGAAGGUUUUAAGAGAGGAUUAAACCAAUUCAUGAAGGCAAAG